rnacentral:rRNA from 1 species
GAUGAACGCUGACAGCAUGCUUAACACAUGCAAGUCAACUGUGGCGGACGGGUGAGUCACGCGUAAAGAACUUGCCUCACAGCUAGGGACACCAUUUGGAAACGAAUGCUAAUACCUGAUACUGUGAGAGAGCUUUGCGUCCCAUUAGCUAGUUGGAGAGGUAACGGCUCACCAAGGCGAGGAUGGGUAGCCGGCCUGAGAUGGUGAACGGACACAAGGGGACGGAGACACGGCCCUUACUCCUACGGGAGGCAGCAGGGGGGAAUAUGGAACAAUGGACCAAAGUAUGAUCCAGCAAUUCUGGGUGAACGAUGAAGUUUUCGGAAUGUAAAGUGCUUUCAGUUGGGAAGCGGUACCAACAGAAGAAGUGACGGCUAAAUACGUGCCAGCAGCCGCGGUAAUUC